UACGUAGGGACCAAGCGUUGUUCGGAUUUACUGGGCGUAAAGGGCGCGUAGGCGGCGCGGUAAGUCACUUGUGAAAUCUCUGAGCUUAACUCAGAACGGCCAAGUGAUACUGCAGUGCUAGAGUGUGGAAGGGGCAAUCGGAAUUCUUGGUGUAGCGGUGAAAUGCGUAGAUAUCAAGAGGAACACCUGAGGUGAAGACGGGUUGCUGGGCUGACACUGACGCUGAGGCGCGAAAGCUAGGGGAGCAAACGGG
rnacentral:rRNA from 1 species